CCCCUAUGUUCUAUUUCUAGCCACAGCUGCCAUGUUUGUUGAUGGAUCAGAACUUCGGAUACAAUUCAAAAAGUAGAUACCCCAACGAACAUUCAUUUAAAGUUUGAGAGUAUUUGGCCCAGUUGUUUCAGAGGAGAAGAUUUUUUAAUUUAAGCAAGUUUGAUGAACAAAUAGAGCAAAUUUGUCUUUAAAGGGCAAUAACUCCUUAAGGGGUCAAUUGACAUUAUUGGUCAUGUUAACUUUUUUGUAGAUCUUACUUUGCUGAACAUUUUUGCUGUUUUACAGUUUAUCUUUAUCUAUAAUAAUAUUC
rnacentral:lncRNA from 1 species